rnacentral:tRNA from 1 species
GGAGAUGUAGCUCAAAGAGUACUCGCUUUGCAUGCAAGAGGUACGGGUUUCGAUACCCCACAUCUCUA